rnacentral:lncRNA from 1 species
CCGACUGUAUCUGCUGCCUGAAGAUUUUGCUCACAUUAGUAUCAUGGGAUGUGGCAUUGUGCCACUUGCAGUAUUUCAUCUUUUUUAGUUGUUCGGCAGAAGGUAUUGUAUGGUACAGCGAGAGUUUAAUCUGUCCUUCCUGGAGGAGAAGGUCGAAUAUUUUAGCGGCCUUUGUCGUGUCAAAACCGAACACCUCCGACUCCUUUUUGCCGAAUGGGCAUGAUAUCGGCUUCUUUCCC